AGAGUUUGAUCAUGGCUCAGAACGAACGCUGGCGGCAGGCCUAACACAUGCAAGUCGAACGUGAAGCCACCUUCGGGUGGUGGAAAGUGGCAGACGGGUGAGUAACGCGUGGGAACGUGCCUUUCGGUUCGGAAUAACCCAGGGAAACUUGGGCUAAUACCGGAUACGCCCUUCGGGGGAAAGAUUCAUCGCCGAAAGAUCGGCCCGCGUCGGAUUAGCUAGUUGGUAGGGUAAUGGCCUACCAAGGCGACGAUCCGUAGCUGGUCUGAGAGGAUGACCAGCCACACUGGGACUGAGACACGGCCCAGACUCCUACGGGAGGCAGCAGUGGGGAAUAUUGGACAAUGGGCGAAAGCCUGAUCCAGCCAUGCCGCGUGGGUGAAGAAGGCCUUAGGGUUGUAAACCCCUUUCAGCGGGGAAGAUAAUGACGGUACCCGCAGAAGAAGCCCCGGCUAACUCCGUGCCAGCAGCCGCGGUAAUACGGAGGGGGCUAGCGUUGUUCGGAAUUACUGGGCGUAAAGCGCGCGUAGGCGGACCUGCAAGUCGGGGGGUGAAAGCCCGAGGCUCAACCUCGGAACUGCCUUCGAUACUGCGGGUCUCGAGUCCGGGAGAGGUGAGUGGAAUUCCUAGUGUAGAGGUGAAAUUCGUAGAUAUUAGGAAGAACACCAGUGGCGAAGGCGGCUCACUGGCUCGGUACUGACGCUGAGGCCGAAAGCGUGGGGAGCAAACAGGAUUAGAUACCCNNGUAGUCC
rnacentral:rRNA from 1 species